rnacentral:rRNA from 1 species
UCCACGCCGUAAACGAUGAGAACUAGCCGUUGGGGAUAUUUAAAUCUUUAGUGGCGUAGCUAACGCGUUAAGUUCUCCGCCUGGGGAGUACGGCCGCAAGGUUAAAACUCAAAGGAAUUGACGGGGGCCCGCACAAGCGGUGGAGCAUGUGGUUUAAUUCGAUGCAACGCGAAAAACCUUACCUACCCUUGACAUCCUCCUAAUCUGGAAGAAAUUUCGGAGUGCCUUCGGGA